ACAGAAUCUCUUUUAUAUUCACACUUCACCCAAUACAAACAUUCAUCUACCUCAUUUAAAUUUUGUGCUCUGGAAUGCAUCUCUCAAAAACCUUUCAUGGACUUGGAAAAACUAUUAUCCCAAAGGGAAAUGUACUGGAUCUUUAAGUUUAAAACCUUUUCCCCUCAGGGACUUAAUGAAUCACUUAAUUUUAGCUGUUUCCUUUAAACCUUCAAGUACUCUUUAAAAACCUUUGAAUGAACCUCCAGAAUUACUCGCAGUUGAAAUCACCACAAGCAGAGUCACUCAGUGAAAGCAUUUAGCACUAUAUAGAAAUUCAUUGUUGCUGAGUUUAACAACUCCUGAAGAAGGGGUUUUUCCCUGAAACAGGGUCAAAAAUACCCGGGACCCCUGUAGACUUGGGACUUUAUUUGGACUUUACUUUUGAAGACUUUUUUGAGAGCGGUGCUCCAUCAUUAUUUUCUUCAAUCCAGUAUACAGCAACACGACCAACCAUCUGUUUGGAAGAUAUUUUCAUUGACUGUAUCCCUGAAGCCUAUAUGUAUUGGACCCAAUACCAGACUUGAACAACUUUUGUGUUAGAGCUGUUGCUCCUUUUCAUUUUGUUGGGUACAGCCAAAUUGAGCUUUGUACGGGGAACUGUAACAAUAUAUGUCAUUUGGACACAUUUUCUUUGUACAUAGACAAUCGUUUGUGUGUAUAGAUACUUUACAAGUAUUCUGGGACUUUGUAUAGUAAUUUAAUUUCCUGACCCCUUACUUUAAAUCCUUGAAAUUGAGUAUCCUCUCUAAUUCUUAUACUCAGAAUUUCCAAUCCCAGAAUAAACAAUAAUGGUGAAAAUGG